GAAAAGGUUGAGCAGCACUUACCAAGAACACUGGGAGAUUGCAGAUGAACAAAAAUUCAAAUGCACAGACCAGAAUUGCAGUGUUAACAAUAUAAUUUAGUUUAUACAUUCAUGCAGAGCGUGAAGACAUGAACUUUAAAUACAAAAGAUAGGAUAAGCACUAAGAAAUAAGUUAAUAUAAACAGUGAAAUAAGCUGCAACACUGAAUGUAAGGAAUACCCCUAAAGCCUUACUGACAAGAAUCAAAACAAUACAAAACACUAAAAACAGGUUGCACUGAAUAAUGUAUGCAUUAAGUCCAAUAAAACAACUAUUUUGAAGAUCCUGCUUGGAAUCAUCCAGGCUUCAGUUGGUGAUGAGUAUAUGUAACAAAACUGAAAAUAACCAAUAAUAGUGCAGAUGGUC